ensembl:rRNA 5S_rRNA 5S ribosomal RNA
GUCUAUGGCCAUAUCACCCUGAACGUGCCCGAUCUCGUCUGAUCUCAGAAGCUAAGCAGGGUCAGGCCUGGUUAGUACUUGGAAGGGAGAAAAGAAAGACAAGCCACAAAUU